ACUGGCGCAAGCUGCACCCUUCUGCAGAAGAAAAUUUGCCUUGCUGAGAAAUCUUGUGUUUGAGUGCUCAUUUUCUUUACGACUCUGAGCUUUUAUUUCUAACAGAACAAGGUGCCAGUGUCUGUUUCUGGGGAAGCCUCAGGAAGCUUCCAAUCAUGGUGGAAGGCAAGGAGAGCCAGUGUGUCACAUGGCGAGAGAUUUUAACAAUCAGAUUGCACAUUAACUAAUAGAGCAAGAACUCAUUCAUUACUGUAAGGAGGGCAUCAAGCCAUUCAUGAGGGAUCUGUCCCCAUGACCCAAACAUCUCCUACUAGGCCCCACUUCCAACACUGGGGGUCACAUUUCAAUUUGAGAUUUGGAGGGGACAAAUAUUCAAACUAUAUUAAGUAGUAUGGACUCAAUCCAAUAUGACUGCUGUCCUUAUGAGAAGCAGAGAAGAGACACGGAGACAGACCCAGGAAGAAUGCUAUGAGGCAAUGGAGACAGUGAUUAAAGUGCUGUAUCAACAAGCAUUUACUGGCAACACCAGAAGCUAAAAGUAAGGCAUGGAACAGAUUUCUUCCCUGGAGCCUUCAGAAGGAGCAUGGCCCUGCCAAGACCUUGAUUUUGGACCUCUGACUUCCAGAACUGUGAAGAAACUGAAGAAGAGAACUUAUGCUUCUAGAUGUUGCAGAAGCUUAAAUUCCGGUUGCCUGAGGCCUAGUCCAGGGGGUCGUGGCAGCAGCAGGCUGAGACCGAUAAGCCUCACCAGCCUCCUGAAGGGAAAAUGUUGGCUGGGUGCAGUGGCACACACCUGUAAUCCAAGCACUUUGGGAGGCCAAGGCAGGUUGAUUGCUUGAACCCAGGAGUAGGAGACCAGCCUGGGCAACAUAGUGAGACCCCUUCUCUACUAAAACCACAAAAAUAAGCUGGGGGUGGUGGCGCAUGUUUGUAGUCCCAGCUACUUGGGAGGCUGAGGUGGGAGGAUUACUUGAGCCUGGGAGGUUGAGGUUGCAGUGAGCUGUGCUCACACCACUGCACUCCAGCCUGGGUAACACAGCAACUCCUCAAAUAAAUAAAUUAAAAUAAAAAGGGAAAAAGUGAAAGGGGCCAUUCCAAACCUCCACCCCUUGGUUAUUCGGUUCAUGCGGUAUUUGGCUAUGCGGGAGACGUCACCAAAUAUUAGCUACUGGCUUAAGUCAUAUAUUCAUUCUGUAAGACAGCCUUCUAAUCCUCCAGCUAAUUUUCUCCAGCUAAUGUAGUAACUAAGCUGUUAGCAGGCAUUCUGCCAUUUUGUCAAGUCAGAUGCUUCUGGGUCCUUGGGGCUUGUGGUAGUGCUAGUAAAUUGUAUCAGUGUAAUUCUCUCUCAUCGUGUCCUUCACUGUAGACAGGUUGCUUAGUGAUUUGUAUGGAAUAUCACAGCAAUGAAUAGGCCUUCUGCUUAGUGCCAGCAGGACCAUUUCUGGCAGGCAAAUUCAUAUUUGGAAUGUUUCUAUUCCCAAAGGCACAAAUUGCUUCUCCUUCUGUGUAGAAAGGGUCCAAUGUAUCAAUCUACCACCAAGAGGCUCAUUGGUUCCCUGGAGAAUGGUGUGAUCAGUCAGGGGCCCAGCAUAGCCUUGACUCUUGGUGCAUGGGCAGAGAAGCCUCAGUGAGAAGUCCAUGCAGACCUCCUUUCUUGUUGCCAUGGCACUUUAUAAAUGGGCCUAUUAAGCACCAGGGUGGCUGGGGAAAAAGGCUGACAUCCAUAGGACUAGCUAUCUUACCCAUCUGAUUGAGAGCCUACUCUGCAGUAGAUGCCAAACAGGACAUUUUCUACAUAUGUUCCAGUAGUUAUUUACCAUUGCUUUUUGCCUGUCUGCACUAUGCCAGUUUGCAGAUGCUAUGAAGUACUACCUUUGCUUUUCAUUUAAUCAUGCCCCAGAAUUUGCUCUUGUAAAGGGUGUGGUGUAUUAUAUCACAGUAUAGAUAACUCAAAAGCUAUCUAUUUAUUUACUUAAUUUUUUAUUGAGGCAGUGUCCUACUAUGUUGUCCAGGCUGGUCUCAAGCUCCGAUGCUCAAGGGAUCCUCCCACUUCACCCUCCUGAGUAGCUGGGAUUUUAAAGCCUCUUAAAAGAAUUAUUCUCAUGUGCUUCUGGUAGCAAGAUAUGAGGUUGGCUUUAUCACUGUCUCUUAGGGUCAUCUCUAAGUGAGGCUAUGUAAUACUUCCAGCUGGAGCCAGCAUACUGUGCAGACCAAUUCAUAAACCAGGACUUGUCUUGGUUUAUUCCCAUUGGUUUAUAUCCAUUCGUGUCUUCUCUCAUGAAGCCUUAUAUGUGGACUGAGGGAAAGCCAGAGAAACAGAAGGAAGAGGUGUUAUGGAACCCCGAGCAAGCUACUUGAUUUUUUUUUUUUUUUUUUUUUUGAGAUGGAGUCUUGCUGUGUCGCCCACGCUGGAGUGCAGUGGCACGAUCUCGGCUCACUGCCACCUCCGCCUCCCAGGUUCACGCCAUUCUCCUGCCUCAGCCUCCCGAGUA
rnacentral:lncRNA from 1 species